rnacentral:rRNA from 1 species
UAGAGUUUGAUCCUGGCUCAGGAUGAACGCUAGCGGCAGGCUUAACACAUGCAAGUCGAGGGGUAGAUGCAGCUUGCUGCAUUGAGACCGGCGCACGGGUGCGUAACGCGUAUGCAAUCUGCCUUGUACUGGGGGAUAGCCCAGAGAAAUUUGGAUUAAUACCCCAUGGUAUUUUGGUGUGGCAUCACACUAUUAUUAAAGAUUUAUCGGUACAAGAUGAGCAUGCGUCCCAUUAGUUAGUUGGUAAGGUAACGGCUUACCAAGACGAUGAUGGGUAGGGGUCCUGAGAGGGAGAUCCCCCACACUGGUACUGAGACACGGACCAGACUCCUACGGGAGGCAGCAGUGAGGAAUAUUGGUCAAUGGGCGCAAGCCUGAACCAGCCAUGCCGCGUGCAGGAUGACUGCCCUAUGGGUUGUAAACUGCUUUUAUACCGGAAGAAACCCCUCCACGUGUGGAGGAUGACGGUACCGUAAGAAUAAGGAUCGGCUAACUUCGUGCCACCAGCCGCGGUAUACGAAGAUCCAGCGUUAUCCGAAUCAUGGGUUUAAA